UACUUCAUUAUUCCAAACAUCUGUAUUUUGUAGUUUCAACAAGUUUACGAGAGCCUGACACUGACUGCUGGGGACGGACAGAUAUACGUGCCAGGAAGGAGAUCCCAGAUUUCCAGUUGCAAAACCAGCCAAACCCACUGUUGGAUCAUGUUUUGGAUGAGACUCAAUCACCGGAAGAGAUCAUAGGUGCAGUGGGUACCACAGUGUUGAAAAGAUUGGAUUUGAUUUCUUUAGGAUUGAACCAGGAAGUGGAGGCAACAGCGGUGAAUUGUUGCCUUUUUCAGUUAUCCAUAAUUUCUGAACAAAAGGGCAAGGAUGUUCAUGCUGUCAAUUCAUAUGUAGUGGUCACUUGGCAACCACCUUUAAAUUGUGAUCCGUUUCUGUCCCUGCCUCUCAAUCGCAAUAAAGAUGAUUCCAGGACCUUGGAAGCUUGUUAAAAAUAAGGAUGUACCAACACAGUCAGCAUCUGUGGAUUGUGGUGUAUUCAUGCUAAUGUAUGCAUUGUGUAUGGCACUUAACUGGGAGCUUGACUUCACUCAGAAAGAAGCGAUGCACAUCAGCCAUGUUGGAAGCAUUUAAGGAGGAGAUAAAACGGCAGGAGAAAGUGGAGAACAUCGGAAUCUUGAUGUUGCCAGAUGCUGUCCUGGUGGAAAUUUUUCUUCACGUGGUCCUGGAGGAGGGUGAUGUUGCGUUAUUAAAUCUGUCUUUGGUUUGUUCCAAAUUCAAAAGCCUGGUGGAUACAGACUCCUUUCGAAAGAGGGCACACUUCUGCUGGCUUAACAGUGUAACUAAAUGGAGAACAAAGUCUGAGCCAUUCCAGGAAUUUUACAAAAUGUACACACUGCAGCCCUGUAGACACUGCAAUGAGGUUUACAAGAACUGCUUACCAGGAUAUGUUGGAAGAGGAAAACGAGGAGAGAUGCAAGGCUUUUACUCAGAAAACACCCAUCCAGGGUUUUGCAGUGAUUGGUGCAUGAUGCUGGAGGAGGAAUAACUCUGUAUAACUCAUCAGUUCUGUUCUGAAAUUCUUGUAAAUACCUCAGGAUUGUUGUUUGUGAUUCUGAUUAACAAUUUUUUUUUCUACUUGCUUACUAGAGAUAUUUUAUACUGUUUACAAGGUAUGUUGUCAUAGUUAGUGCUAUACAAAGUCUGUUACAAAUGUAAUGGAUACUUUAUUUUUAUGUGUGUGUGUGUUUCUUGAAUUACUACAAAUGUUAAAAAAAAUAACAGCAAAAAAAAAAAAAAGCUUUUAAAUAAAGGUCGUUGCUGA